rnacentral:ncRNA from 1 species
CUUAUCAAGAGUGGCGGAGGGACCGGCCCUGUGAAGCCCGGCAACCUGCUUUUAGCAAGGUGCCAAAUCCGGCGGUGUAUUAUCGAAAGAUGAGG